rnacentral:rRNA from 1 species
UAAGUGAUUAAGCCGCGUAUAGCUCAUUACAACAGCCGUUGUUCCCUUGAGACUAUGAAUACUUGGAUAGCUGUGGCAAUUCUAGAGCUAAUACACGCACUGAAGACCCCGACCUUACGGGAGGGGUGCAUUUAUUAGAACAAAACCAAUCGGGGCAACCCGCAGUUUGGUGAAUCUGAAUAACCCAGCUGAUCGCACGGUCUUUGCACCGGCGACGCAUCUUUCAAGUGUCUGCCUUAUCAACUUUCGACGGUAGCGUACGCGCCUACCGUGGUUAUAACGGGUAACGGAGAAUAAGGGUUCGACUCCGGAGAGGGUAGCCUGAGAAACGGCUACCACAUCCAAGGAGGGCAGCAGGCGCGCAAAUUACCCACUCUCAGCACGAGGAGGUAGUGACGAAAAAUAACGAGGCGGUUCUCUAUGAGGCCCGCUAUCGGAAUGAGAACCAUAUAAAUCCUUUAACGAGGAUCUAGCGGAGGGCAAGUCUGGUGCCAGCAGCCGCGGUAAUUCCAGCUCCGCCAGUGUAUAUCUAUGCUGCUGCGGUUAAAAAGCUCGUAGUUGGAUCUGCGUGCUAGGAACCGGUCCGUCCACUGGGCGUGAACUGGUCUCCGGCAUUAUAUCAGCCGGUUUUCCCCUGAUGCUCUUAACCGGGUGUCUUGGGUGGCUGGCAAGUUUACUUUGAAAAAAUUAGAGUGCUCAAAACAGGCGAAAGCCUUGAAUACUAGUGCAUGGAAUAAUAGAAUAGGACUCCGGUUCUGUUUUGUUGGUUUUCGGAACACGAAGUAAUGAUUAAGAGGGACAGACGGGGGCAUUCAUAUUGCGACGUUAGAGGUGAAAUUCUUGGAUCGUCGCAAGAUGGACAACUGCGAAAGCAUUUGCCAAGAAUGUUUUCAUUAAUCAAGAACGAAAGUUAGAGGUUCGAAGGCGAUCAGAUACCGCCC